AGCGAACGCUAGCGGCAGGCUUAACACACGCAAGUCGAGCGCCCCGCAAGGGGAGCGGCAGACGGGUGAGUAACGCGUGGGAAUCCACCCAUCUCUACGGAAUAACGCAUGGAAACGUGUGCUACUACCGUAUACGUCCUUCGGGAGAAAGAUUUAUCGGAGAUGGAUGAGCCCGCGUUGGAUUAGCUAGUUGGUGGGGUAAAGGCCUACCAAGGCGACGAUCCAUAGCUGGUCUGAGAGGAUGAUCAGCCACACUGGGACUGAGACACGGCCCAGACUCCUACGGGAGGCAGCAGUGGGGAAUAUUGGACAAUGGGCGCAAGCCUGAUCCAGCCAUGCCGCGUGAGUGAUGAAGGCCCUAGGGUUGUAAAGCUCUUUCACCGGUGAAGAUAAUGACGGUAACCGGAGAAGAAGCCCCGGCUAACUUCGUGCCAGCCGCCGCCGUAACAC
rnacentral:rRNA from 1 species